GCGUCAAUAGCUCAGCGGUAGAGCGUAGGAUUGCAGAUCCCGAGGUCCCCGGUUCGAUCCCGGGUUGGCGCU
rnacentral:tRNA from 1 species